UACGUAGGUGGCGAGCGUUGUCCGGAUUUACUGGGCGUAAAGGGCGUGCAGGCGGCCCGUUAAGUGCAUGGUGAAAGCUCCCGGCUCAACUGGGAGAGGUCUGUGUAUACUGGCGGGCUUGAGGGGGGUAGAGGAAAGUGGAAUUCCCGGUGUAGUGGUGAUAUGCGUAGAUAUCGAGAGGAACACCGGUGGCGAAGGCGGCCUUCUGGACAGUGACUGACGCUGAGACGCGAAAGCGUGGGGAGCAAACAGG
rnacentral:rRNA from 1 species